UUAAUUAAUUAAUUAAUUUUACUACGGUCCAGCCCUUUCUGACACUGCCGCCUCUUCCAUCCUCUCCACCGAUCGAUGCUCGCCGCUGGAAAUCGUCGCUCAUUCGCUGGAACAUUUCCGACGUAUUUCGAAGUCUCCGACGGUAGUCGGCUUCCUUGAGUGUCGCGUCUUUGUUCGCUUGAUGCCUGAUUUCGGAUGGCACUUCCCUUUCGACCAAGUUUAGAUCUAGGUCAUUUCUAGUGGUUUGCGGGGUUCUGUUCGAACCAAUGUUCAAGCGGCUGAUCUCGAUGGGAUUCGCAGUAAGAAGCACUUUUCGGGUGGAAAGCCUAUCCUAAUGAGCUGGUUGGACUGAAGUUUCAAAGGACAAAUUGUUCAGUGUACUUCCAAAGCCGUUCUACUCUUCAAUCUUUCUUCUAAGUGACAAGGAUUCAUCACGAUCUCUUCUUGGACGAGCUCAAGUUUAACAAAAAACUGCAUCCCUCAUGUAUCGGUAUGUUUGGUGUAGGUGUGUCUGAAAGGUUCUCUUAGCUCCCCCUUUUUCUUUCUAUUGGUUGCCUCAUUUUUUGUUUAUGUUCUAUUGACUAUAGUUGUAAGCACCUCACCUCCUUGUUAUGUGCCUUCCUUGUAAUAUAUGACAAUGCAAUGCAUAUGACAGAGAAAUCACUAUUUGUAGAUGACAUUAAAUUCAGGGUAUUUUAUUUUUAUUUUACAAAUUAUGAGGGUAAAAUAUAGUAUUCUAAACUAUAGAGGAAAUGAAAUAUUCUCAAGAAAUAUUUAUUUUGGGUGUUGCUACUAUUUAAUUUCGUGGUCUAAUUGGAUUAGAGUGUCAACGAAUCAUAUGCUUGGGCGUGGCACCGGUCUUAUCAACCUGAAACUUUGUUAGAAAUGAAUUGAAAGAAGCUUUGACUCUGCUAAAUUAUCAAGAAUAAAAUUUCACAUCACUUAUUUCCAUCAAGAGAUGAUAAAUCAAUCAAUAAAUAAUACUAAUAAGAAAAAUUAAAGAAAAUGAAACGACAUGAUGGCUGAGGCUCACAAAUCUAAUGCAAAGAUUUGUCCUUUCUGUUUGGGUUGAUUCCAAUCUUAUACUGUAAGGAUUCAAUCGGUGUUAUGCCGAUUGUUGGCACGACAGUGUGGAAAGUUUGUUGUAGAUUCUUUCAAUAUUUGACCAACCUAAUAAAUGUAUUAUUGAGAAUAUUAAAGCAGAAGAAUUGUGGAAGAAAGAUGUUAGAAACACCUCCACUUCAAUCUAAUACGACUUGCUCUUAGCGUGCUUGGCCCAACAAGUAGGCCAAGCAUAGAUUGUACUGUUUUUGACACAUAAGCUGGGGUCUUGAGGCUUGACACGAACCCACAAUUGGAUCAACGUGGAUCAUGGGCCCAGAACACCACAUUUUGUGAGUCGUAACGGGCUGUGUAAUGUGUCACCCUCUCACCUGACAAUUCUAGGUUAGCAGUUGUCAUUGAGCUCCAUAAAAGAAAUUCAUUGCCAGGAAUUGUUUGGCGUUAAACCAGGCACUCAAUUUUAAGGGGCCUGCUGACAACAUCCUAAGCAAUGUAGUGCUGAAGUGCUUGUGCCAAAAAAAGAAAUAAUACAAAACCAACAUGAGUGAAACUUGAAGCACUUGCAGGAUUUCAAGAAUAGUGUAAUAAAAGAAGAGGUAAUGACUUAUCCAAUGGCCACCAUUGGGUGGAGCAUCCGUCUUCUUUUGAUCAAAAUGGGAACUACAUUUAACUGUCUGUUUAUGUAUCUCAGUCAGAUUUAUAUGGAAAGUACAUUUCACAUUUGAAGGAACUCAAAUUUGCUCUUUGAACAACUAAAUAGUCUACAGUCUCGACACCAAAAUAGUUGGCUUUUCUGCGGAUUGCAUUAUGGAUUAUUUCAUGUAAGUCUUUCUCAUUUAAGGAAACAUAACGUGUUCUCAUAUUGGUUCUGAUUCUCAUGUAUCUUAUGAGCAUGUUCUGUAACUCGUUGCUUCUGAUAAGGAAAUGAAACCAAAUGUUAGGUUUGCUCAUGUUGCUAUUGGCUACAAAUAACUACAGUGUCAGGUGCUUCAUUAAGCAAUCAAAGAAGCUUUAUUACCAAGCAGGAGACCUUCAGAUUUCCAUCAAAUGAAUGGUGUUAAAUGAUUAACUGGAAGCUCAAAAGCUCUUCGAUUAGCUUGGAAGAUUCAAAUGGCAAUACCCGGCAUGAAUGUUCCACAAUUAAAGUUCGGUAUCACAACUCAGAAGGCAGUUUGUUGCAAGCAAGCAAGCAACCAACAUUAAUACAAUUUGAUUUCUUCCAUCACAGUCAUAACUACACCCAUGCCUUUGUUCAUUAAUUGCUCUUCUAUAGUUCUGACGUUUUGUUUUUUCACUCCUCAUGUUGACCAGGAAGAUCAGAAUGAUCAGAUAGAAGAUCUUCCAAAAGGAUGACAACUUUUAGAAAUUCAGGCACCACCUUUGAUAAGUCCUUCGCCUGAAUUAUCAGGCGCGACCUCUUGCUCGAGCAACAACUACAUAUUCCUAUCGUCCCAUGAUGAUCGUCUACUACGAGGAGAGGUUCUCCAUGGAAUCCCUUGAACUCGGACUCACAAUGACUUCCAAGUUUUUAGGUCACAUUUUUUAUGAAAGAAAGCAAGUGUAAAA